UGCCACCCAUGCCAUCCAAACUGCACCCAAGGGUGCAUAGGCUCAAGUAUUGAAGACUGCAUCGGCCUGAUGGAUAGGUGUAACGGUCCUACUAGUCAUGACUGCAUUUACUACCCAUGGACGGGCCAUUCCACUUUACCACAACAUGCUAGGUAACAUCUACCAUGUUUCCAUUUUGUCGCUCAAAUCCUUUCCUAGUUAUCAUGAACAAAAAGUACUAACCAGUUGGGUUAAAUUUAUAAUAUAUUGUAACUCAUAAUAUAUCAAAUUAGAAAGUUUUGAAAGAGGCAUAAAACACUUUCCUUCUCA
rnacentral:sRNA from 1 species